CGGAAGACAGUCAUGCUCUCUUUACAAGAGGACCACAAACUACAUAGAUAACCACAACAUAAUCCACUUUGGAAGCAGCAUUCAAGGAACAGCAAAUCCUUUCAUCAUACAAGUGCCCAAAGCAGUACCGACCUCAAUAGAAAUAACGGUGCAGGUGUAUGACAAUGAUGACACCUCCAGUGACGACCACAUGGACACACUCUCCAAACGGAUCAACAUCCGGGCCAAUGCUUCAGAACAGACAGCCGUGUACAACCCAUACACAGUGUGGGGAAGGACAAAGUUACAGAUUCAGGUCCGUGCCUACUGCGACCCGGACUGGUACGGGUCAGUGUGUGAGAAAUAUUGCAAGGCAACCACUGACCCGAGUCACUACACGUGCCACGCACACACAGGAGCAAAAGUGUGCUUU